GGGUGGCUCCUGCGGCCUGGAGGGCGUCACAGCAGCUCCGGGGUCUUGGCGCCCAGCUAGAGGCUGGUCAGGUGGGCAGAACCGAGACAACGGUGUGGCACAGAGCUUGCAUCCUGUCCCACAAGGCAGCAUAAACUGUAGCCCCAAUUAUGGGAAAUCCAACCCUAUUUACAAAGACGUUCUCUCAGCUUUGAGAAGGUUCCCCAGCAUCACAGCGGGGCUUUGGCUGGAAGACAGUGGGCCGUGGCUCCAUCAGGCCGGGGGCAGCCCCAGCCCUGCCAGGACAGGCAGGUGCCAGGCCACAAGGCACCUGUGGCAGCGGAAGGCGGGGCACCUUGUCCUCCCAGGGGGCGGGGCACUGGGUGCCAGGAGCAGGCCCGGGCACAGCCUGCCUCGUGGGUGCUGGGAGGGCAGCCAGGGGCCAUUGGGGGCUUUGUGCCUAUCACCGAAGCACAGCGUGGACCUCCGCCCCUUCCUCGCACCCUUGGCAGCCAGGUGGGCACACCUGCCCCAGGCAGUCCCAGGCCCCAUCCCUGACCCUGGCUGGUACCCAGUGUUAGGGUUAGGGUUAGGGAUCCCCCAGACCAUAGCGUCCUUAAACAAAGGAACAAAGCUGAGCCCUGGCCUGGGUCACAGACAUGGGGUCUCAGGCGGCGUGUCUCCGACUCCAGGAGCAGCUCAGCCCCGCCUCUUCCAGGAAGCCCGCAGGGACUGCUCCGUCCCUCUCUCUCUCUCUCUCUUUCCCUCUCCCCCUCAAUAUUGCAUCCUUUCCUCAGCUCUAGAAUGGGAAGGGAGCUCAGCUGGCUUCACUGGGGUCCAAACCAGGGCACGUGUGAGAGUGCAGGUGGCACCAUUACCUGUUACGUGGGGACAUGGGCUGAAAACCAGGACCCUCCCAGGAAAUUCGGGGGCCUGGCUUAUACCAUCAUGCGUCGUUGGCUGUUCGGGUGUUUCUGUCUCUGGUUCCCUUUCUUGUCAAGUCAGCUUCCUCACCUGUAACGUGGCAGUGCUGGUGGCACUGUGAGGGUUCGGCGAGGCGGUCCUUGCUGCUAGGAAGCAUCCUGUCUUGUCUGUAUCCUUUCGGCACCAAGCUCAUGUCAGCCAGGGCUUCCGACGGUCUGAUGGCUGCCUGGAGGAGGCUCGGCCUGCUGCAGGUGCCCGGUGACAUUCCUAGGAUGACGGGUGGAGCGCGAAGGCUGGCUGGCUGGGUGGAUGCCUCCCUGAAUGGAGACUGAAUGAACACCGGGUCUCUUCUCUUCCCAGGUGGCUCUGGAGACCCCAGCCCCUGGCAGCGGGCAGCCGGGGAGGGUAUGAGUGUGCUUUUGUCCCCGUGGUUACCCAUUGCAACGUUACCCAUCCCCACGUUACCCAUCGCCACGGUGGGCACACUCUCUCUGUAUCUGCUCCUUGAGUCUCGGACCCUGGCCGCCCACCAGGCCUCCCUCCCUCCCCUUGGCGCUGGCAGGACAGGCAGGUCAGGUGGGCUUCCAGUCAGGGCUCUUUUCUCCACCUCCCCAGGGGCUGUGUGUGUGUGUGUGUGGUUCUGAGUGUGUGGUUCUGUGCGUCUGUCGGUGUGUGCACCCAGCAAGCCCAGCGGGCGAGGUGGCCCCUGUGGCUUCGGGCUGAAGGAAUUAGUGUGCCGCGUGCAAUGGCUUUGGCAGCUGGCCGGGCUCGCCGCCCCUGGAUGCCAUGAGGGGCGUGGACGUGACACAUGUCCCACCUGCUGGUUUGGGGCAGGGCAGGGGCAGGGAGGAGAAGGCCCCUGAGCCUGGCUUUUUGGACUGCUCACUGCUGCUGCUGUCCUCCGUGGAGUAAGGACAGACAGGUGGACAGGAGCCAAUCUCUCUGCUCCUUCACCUCGGUGACACUGGCUCCGUGCCCUCCCUUAUGGGGGCCGAGAGACCGUUCUAGGCACCCCUCGCCCCCCAGAAGUGGUGUGAAAAGUGGGGCUCUGGACCUCUUGGGCCUGGCUUCAGAUCCCCUGGCCACUCCUCAUUGCUGUGUGCCCGGGAUAAGCCGCCUCACCUCUCUGGGCCGCUUCCCAACAUGAAUCCCGCCAGCCAGGGCUCUGAGGACAGAGUGGGUCAGGACCUGAGGCCCUCAGGACACCGCAGGUCAGCAGUGUGAGCCAUCAGCCCCUUGCCUGGCACUGUCCCCAUUGUCAUUCUGGUCACCUUUUCUGGGAGCAUUUGAACCCCAGUGUCACCCCCCACAGCCCAGCUCUCCCAGGUGGGGAGCAAGGGAGGAAACUCAGGAUGCUGACUCGGCCAGGGGAGAUCCCACGUGACCCCCACCAGCCCCAGGGCGGGAGGCAGCCUGCCAAGGUGAGGCACAGCGCCCUGGCCCAGAACAGAGCAAGUGCUCAGAAAUCACAGGCCGGUACCCUCCCGGCUGGGGGCAGCUUCCUGCCAGCAUCCCGGCCCCUGGCCCUGUCUCCUCACCCAGCAGCAUACAGAAGGGAAGGAGCAUUUAUGCAACACCUACUGCAUGCCAGUUCUCAAGUCAUUAGCCCGUUUUAUCAACAAGGAAACUGAGCCUCAGAGAGGUGGGGCCUGGGACCAGCCCAGCGGUUCCAAAGCAGGAAUUCCCACCAGGAACCAACCCUGGGAGGGCCUCCCUCCUGCCUCCUUGGGCCAAAGCAACUGCCCUCCUGAGCCCUCGGGGACCCCAGGCACUGCUCCAGCCCCUCCCCAGCUCCUCCCCCUAGACCCCCAGGAAGCAGAGCUUGGGGAGAUGCUGUCCACAGUCUCAGGACCAGACCCUGCAGGCAGAUCUGUGCGCCCUCUCUGAGCCUCAGUUUUCCCAUCUGGGAAAUAGGAAGAGCCAAGGAUGUCCGCCCCAUAGCGUGGGAACGCUGAGCCGUUGAAACAUCACUCCGGCCCCAUCCUUGGGGACCGCCUUGGUCCCCAGGGGCUGGUCUGGGGGGGUUCAAGGGCUGGGUGGGCUGGUCUGGCCGCCUCGCCUCUCCCUAAUGGCAGGUUUGGGCACAGACAGAGCCUGUGGCCUGGCAGCGUGGGGUGGUGGCUCUGCUCCCCCGCCCGCCUGCCCUCCUGCCCGCCGUGUGGUCCCUGCGGGGGGACACGUGAACACAGCCUGGCUCUGUUCUCUCAGAGCUGUGGGAGGCGGGCUGUCACCACGGGAGCUGGAGGUGAGCCCGGGAGCGGGGGAGGGGCGGCGGAUGUCUGUGCCUGCCUUCCUCCCCCCACCCGCCACCGCCACCGCCACCGCCACCGCCAGGCCCUGCCAAGCCACAGGUGCCGCCGUGGAGGGCAUGGGUGGGGGUCCUGCUGAGUGGAGGGCUGGGGCUGGGCAAGGGGUUGGGGGUGCACAGUGUAUGCAGGAUAGCGAGGAGGGGGUCUUUUGGGGGGACAGCUGCCCCGCUCUGUUCUGGAGAGAGAGGUGUCCAAGGCAACAUGGCCACCGUCACCAGGGCUGCAGGUCCCCCUGGGGUUCUGAACGGCUGCUGCGUGGCACAGGUUGGGCACUGCACAAUCUCAGGUCUUUGGGUGGAGCUGUACCGUGUGCAGCGGCCUAGGGGCUCCCUCCCGUCUUCUCCGCCUCCCACGUUUUGAUGUUUGUUUCUGGAGUUCGGGCCCCCUUUGAUCCAAAGUCUGGGGUGUUGGUGAGGGCGAUGUGUAGGAGUGACUAUGGGUGAGAGGGCUCCCAUCGUGGGCUGCACACAGUAGGGCGGCUUGGGGGGUUGUAAGAAGCCAUGUCUGUCCUUCGAGGUCAGAGUGAUACGUGUGUAUCCAAGCCCCCCAUGAAUCCCAUUCUCCUUGAGCAUCUAAGGUCAUGACUUUGUGGGUACCAGGCGUCCCCGCCCCGCUACCUUGCCUCCUAAGAGCCCCCUUUGCCGAGAUUUAAUGUCUUAACUCACUGAGCUGCAGGUCAAACAGCACCUGGGGAGAGAGACACCAACUGAAACCUCUCCUAGCUGUGUGACCUUAAGCAUGUUACCUAACCUCUCUGUGCUUUCAUUUCCUCCUCCGAAAAGUAGAGGCAGUAGCCUGCGUCGCCAGGUUAUAGGCAGAUUGCAUGAGAUAAGGAUGAAACGCACUUUGAGCCGGGACAGCGUGUGGAAAAUGCCAGUUGUUGCCUCACUCCGUGUGCCCUGGGUAGAAACUGCCAGCUUUGUUCUUUGCCACCUGGAGGUCCUGGCAGGCAGGAGGCUGGGGUUCAGCGGCCUUGUGCCCCAGGGGUGGCUGGCACCGGGCUUGGCACGAGGUGAGCUCUGGAUUGAUAAACAGCUGCAGGGUUGCAGGGGGGGCCUCCCUCUCUCCCUCUCUGGGAGCUGCAGGGGACGCCUGCUUCCUCCAACCCGCCGCCACCGCCAGGCCCCUUUGUCCACACGGCCGCCUCCCGGUGCAGAGAAACCGCAGGCUGGGCUGCGCCACUCAGCCUUAUCUCAGGCCUUUUGCAGACAGCCCUGGCCCCGGGAAAGGGGUUUAUCAGCCCGGUCAUCUGUGCCCCGGUAGGUUCAGAGGGGCAGAGAGCUUGGAGGGGAGCCUGGCAGGGGGCAGGGCCCACCCACACUGGCCUGGCGAGGUCCCCUCCUCCAGGCGGGCUUUGGGCGCACAGGAAGGGCCGAGCCCCAGACUCCCUCCGUAGACUCCAUGACAUUCACCUUCCACCGGCCCCCUCCCAGCCCUCAGAUUCGGUGCCCUCCAUGCGGCCACCUGUCCCCACGGGGCAGUCAGGGGAGCCUGACCCGCGUCUGAGGGCGGGUAUGUGUGGCAGGGUUGAAGCUGGGAAGCCCAUUUCAGGGCACUGAGCCCUGGGAAGGCUGCCCAGCCUUCCCGAUGCUUCUUUAAGGGGCAGGGAGCUCCCGUUCUCCCCCCUUAUAAGGCCAACUCCUGAGCGUCUGCUGGCGAGGAGCCCUUCUCCGCAUGCUCUCACGGAUGCGCUGACUGGGCCCAGUCGUGAACCCAUCAUAGAGACCAGGAGACUGAGGCCCAGGCCAACUUUGCACCCUGCAGCCUUGUGGACAUCCUGGGUCUGCGGGCGCACGGGAUGGGCACCUUAGGGGUGGAAGGUGGUCCCUGUGGUCCCUGGCCACCCGGCUACCCUAGUGCCAUUCUGCCACCACCUCCCCUGCCAUUGCUCCCUCCCUUCCCUCAGGGAGAAGUCCUGCUCAGCCAGGGAUGGGGGUGGGGGAACAGAAUGGGCCCCUUGCCAGUGGGUGCACACCGCCAGAGAGGGGCCUUGACAAGCUCAGUAGCCGGGUCAGACCCUAGCACUUUCUGGCUGCAAACCCGGACAAGCCUCCUAGCCCUCUGGGCUGGGCGGGGGCGGGUGUGUGUGUGUGUGUGCCGUUUCCACACGCCAGGCAGCCCCCCCAGGUCUUGGCCCGCUUCAGGCUGCUCCCCAGAGGGCCCUCCCUCUCUCACCCGGAUCUGUGGGCAGAGUCACCCUCUUCACUGGCAUCCUGUCCUUCUCUGCUAAAAGGGCCACCUCCUGCUGUGUCCCAUCCUCGUCCUUAGGCUGUCACAGGCUCACAGCGCUGUCUAGCAGUGUAUUUCGCUGAUUUUUCUUAUCGUCUGCCGUGCCCAGUGUCUGAGCAGCUCCCAGAGGACAAGAAUUUCCAACUCCGUCUGCCCAGCCCCUAGGUCAGUGCCCGGCCCACAGUAGGCCCUCGAUAAAUACUUGUCAAAUGAAUGAAUGGACAGAUCAGCAAAGUGAGAAAACCAGAGAGUUCCCGUCAUGACGCAGUGGUUAACAAAUCCGACUAGGAACCAUGGGGUUGCGGGUUCGAUCCCUGGCCUUGCUCAGUGGUCAAGGAUCCGGCGUUGCCGUGAGCUGUGGUGUAGGUCGCAGAUGCAGCUCAGAUCCUGCGUUGCUGUGGCUGUGGCUGUGGUGUAGGCUGGUGGCUACACCUCCAAUUGGACCCCUAGCCUGGGAACCUCCAUAUGCCGAGGGAGUGGCCCUAGAAAAGGCAAAAAGACAAAAAAAAAAAAGAAAGAAAAAGAAAAAAA
rnacentral:lncRNA from 1 species